rnacentral:rRNA from 1 species
UACGAAGGGGGCGAGCGUUGUUCGGAUUUACUGGGCGUAAAGGGCGCGCAGGCGGUUCUGUUUGUCGAGUGUGAAAGCCCCGGGCUCAACCUGGGAACUGCGCUCGAAACGGCAGAACUAGAGUUCGGGAGAGGAGAGUGGAAUUCCCAGUGUAGAGGUGAAAUUCGUAGAUAUUGGGAAGAACACCGGGUGGCGAAGGCGGCUCUCUGGACCGAGACUGACGCUGAGGCGCGAAGCGUGGGAGCAAACAGGAUUGAGAA